NUCCAUCUGACGAGUCCCAAAUAGGACGAAACGCGCGUCCUGGAU
rnacentral:hammerhead_ribozyme from 1 species